rnacentral:rRNA from 1 species
CGAACGCUGGCGGCGUGCUUAACACAUGCAAGUCGAACGAGAAUCUGCGGAAAGAGGAUUCGUCCAAUUGAAGCAGAGGACAGUGGCGGACGGGUGAGUAACGCGUGAGGAACCUGCCUCAAAGAGGGGGACAACAGUUGGAAACGACUGCUAAUACCGCAUAAGCCCACGACCCGGCAUCGGGAAGAGGGAAAAGGAGCAAUCCGCUUUGAGAUGGCCUCGCGUCCGAUUAGCUAGUUGGUGAGGUAACGGCCCACCAAGGCGACGAUCGGUAGCCGGACUGAGAGGUUGAACGGCCACAUUGGGACUGAGACACGGCCCAGACUCCUACGGGAGGCAGCAGUGGGGAAUAUUGCACAAUGGGGGAAACCUUGAUGCAGCGACGCCGCGUGGAGGAAGAAGGUCUUCGGAUUGUAAACUCCUGUUGCUGAGGAAGAUAAUGACGGUACUCAACAAGGAAGUGACGGCUAACUACGUG